rnacentral:rRNA from 1 species
CCUACGGGAGGCAGCAGUAGGGAAUUUUCGGCCAUGGGGGGAACCCUGACCGAGCAACGCCGCGUGAACGAAGAAGUUCUUCGUAAUGUAAAGUUCUUUUAACAGGGAAGAAAGAGCAAUUUGACGGUACCUGAAGAAUAAGCUCCGGCUAACUACGUGCCAGCGGCCGCGGUAAUACGUAGGGAGCGAGCGUUAUCCGAAAUUAUUGGGCGAAAAGGGUGCGUAGAGGGCAUAGUAAGUCUUUGGUAAAAAAGAGGGGAUAAAUCCAGUAGGGCAAGAGAUACUGUAAAGCGAGAGUAUGACAGAGGCAAGUAGAAUUACAUGUGUAGCGGUAAAAUGCGUAAAUAUAUGUAAGAACACCAGUGGCGAAGGCGGCUAGCUGGGUCGAUACUGACAUUGAGGUACGAAAGCGUGGGGAGCAAACAGGAUGAGAUACCCGAGUAGUC